GGAGGGUAUAGCUCAGUGGUAGAGUGCGUGCUUAGCAUGCACGAGGUCCUGGGUUCAAUCCCCAGUGCCUCCA
rnacentral:tRNA from 1 species